UUUCAGAAAAGUGGUUUUAUUGAAGUAAGAUGUUGUGAAUGUGAGACAAAGUUUGAUGGCAAGGUUCACUCUAUUACUUACUGCAGAGGAUAUAAUAAUGAUUCAGAGUUACCAACAAGAAAACCAGUGCACUAUAAUACGAGGUUGUGUGUGUUAUCAGUCACUUACCAAAGAUCUGCAGCUGGUAAGAGGUCUCUCAGCCUGAAGGAGUAACCUGAGAGGUGAUCCAGCUCAAGGGGAGAUCACCAGUGUGCAGCCAGCUGCUUAGCUCAAAGGCAGCUUCUGAAAUCCUGCCCUUUGAGAAUUACUUCCCGGAAAAGGAUUUGGGCAUUCACUUUUUUAAUGACUACAACAUACAAGUGAUUCUCCUCCUCUUUUUUCUUUACUCCAGACUCCGUCCACAGCCCUUCUGGGACCAUAAGAUUUCACAUGCUUUUAACUAAUACUUUAACUGCUUUCAGGGAUGUAUCACAUUCCUUCCACAAACCAUUGUUUCUUUAUAAAUAUAGGCAUUUUGGAGGUGAAGUAAUUCCCUUGUUUUAUGUUUCAAACUCUUGAAGCUAUUGUAUACUAAGCCCCUUUUGUAAUCAGUAAGAAUUACCCAGUUAAUUACAAGUCAUUCUUUUCAUAGAAGAUAUUAAACAUGAAAUCUGGAUAUAUUCUAAUUUAACUUCCAUUAACAUGUUAGCCCAUGAAUGGAAGCAGUCAAACCCAAUCAAACUAGCUCAUUCUUCAGGAGCUCCAGGCCUUGACAUCCAAGAGACAAUCUUACCCUUAAUUAUUGACUCAAAUCAAGACAAAGAUUGGUUUUAAAAAAGCACCCAAACCAACAAAAGCCACAGAACCAAAGAAACAAACCAACCAACCAACUCCUUUCCUGCUCUCUUCCAACCUUUCCCUCACCAUGGCCUUGCAAAGUAGCAAUCCCAGUGCCAGUCCAAAUGUCGAUUCUUACACGAUGAAGAGUUUUGGUCUCGUCACAGCAUCCACGACACAUACAUUAAAAGAGGAAAAGCAGAUCCAUGUUCAGAGCUCGCUCUACAGUGACAAGGCCUUACUCAUUUUCCUGCACAGGUGUAAUCACUCUGUAAUAAACCUGCACUGGAGAGAGUUGCUACCAACAAAACCAAACCAGCCUGGGGAAGCUCUGCUCUUUCCGCAGAGGAAGCAAGCCACAUGGGUGAAAGGAUGGGGUUUGCCAGCACAACAUCUCUCGUGAAGAACAGUUGUGCUGCAGCAAUGGCAGAAAGGAACACGACUUCCCCACACUUCAGCCAACCUACUUACACCAGCAAAACGAUCAGCAACGGUACAAGAGAAAUGACCCCACAAACAGAACUCCCCAUGCCGCAAGCCCCCUGUUCCCCAAGCCGGACGCAGAAGCCGCUCCUUUGCUGUGAAGCUGACCGCGUGUUCCUCGGAUCUCUCUUUUGCCCGCGGGCUCGGAUUUUCCCAGGAAGGCCACCGAGGGGCAGGCCAAGGCCGCGGUGCGACCGUGACAGCCACCACCGAGGCUCCCCGAAGAGACGAGACGGCGCCGAGCAGAGCAGCUUAGCGCGGUCCGGUCCGACAUUAAAUCCCGCUGCGGCGGACCGCGCCCGCCCGCCGCC
rnacentral:lncRNA from 1 species